rnacentral:rRNA from 1 species
UACGGAGGGGGCUAGCGUUGUUCGGAAUUACUGGGCGUAAAGCGCACGUAGGCGGACUGUUAAGUCGGGGGUGAAAUCCUGGGGCUCAACCUCAGAAUUGCCUCCGAUACUGGCAGUCUCGAGUGCGGGAGAGGUGAGUGGAAUUCCCAGUGUAGAGGUGAAAUUCGUAGAUAUUGGGAAGAACACCAGUGGCGAAGGCGGGUCUCUGGACAGUUCCUGACGCUGAGGCGCGAAGGCCAGGGGAGCAAACGGG